CAACAUCCCACCAUAACACAUUCACGCACCCAAUCACAUACCAUGACACCUACACCAUCCGGCUUCCCACCUGGUCAAAUAUUUACACCCAUUCCCAUGCCCUCCCAUUAACACUCCUAGUCCAAGUAAAUGCUACUUUCACCCAUGCAAUCACAUACCCCAAUCCAGUCUAGUCUAGUUUAGUUCAAUCAUCUAAAUCACAUACCAUGUCUAAUAUUCCUAUAGACUCACAUAAAACUACUCAGUUACAUACUCCUGUCUACCCACUUUCAAUCAUCCAAAUGCCUAAAUUCAGAGGCUAAUGCACUAAACUGGGAAAUCCAGUCAUGAUUGGCAAGGACUUUGGAUUUCUGUCUAGAAACCUGGCCGUGAUAAA